rnacentral:lncRNA from 1 species
AGUCUUGGGCUAUUCGGCCACGUGCCUGCCGGACAUGGGACGCUGGAGGGUCAGCAGCGUGGAGUCCUGGCCUUUUGCGUCCACGGGUGGGAAAUUGGCCAUUGCCACGGCGGGAACUGGGACUCAGGCUGCCCCCCGGCCGUUUCUCAUCCGUCCACCGGACUCGUGGGCGCUCGCACUGGCGCUGAUGUAGUUUCCUGACCUCUGACCCGUAUUGUCUCCAGAUUAAAGGUACGACAUUUGGAGGCCCCAGCGAGAAACGUCACCGGGAGAAACGUCACCGGGCGAGAGCCGGGCCCGCUGUGUGCUCCCCCGGAAGGACAGCCAGCUUGUAGGGGGGAGUGCCACCUGAAAAAAAAAUUUCCAGGUCCCCAAAGGGUGACCGUCUUCCGGAGGACAGCGGAUCGACUACCAUGUGGGUGCCCACAAAAAUUCCACCUCUGAGUCCUCAACUGCUGACCCCGGGGUCAGGUGACCUGUUGUUUGUUAAAAAGUUCCAGAGAGAAGGACUCCCUCCUGCUUGGAAGAGACCUCACACCGUCAUCACGAUGCCAACGGCUCUGAAGGUGGAUGGCAUUCCUGCGUGGAUUCAUCACUCCCGCAUCAAAAAGGCCAACGGAGCCCAACUAGAAACAUGGGUCCCCAGGGCUGGGUCAGGCCCCUUAAAACUGCACCUAAGUUGGGUGAAGCCAUUAGAUUAAUUCUUUUUCUUAAUUUUGUAAAACAAUGCAUAGCUUCUGUCAAACUUAUGUAUCUUAAGACUCAAUAUAACCCCCUUGUUAUAACUGAGGAAUCAAUGAUUUGAUUCCCCAAAAACACAAGUGGGGAAUGUAGUGUCCAACCUGGUUUUUACUAACCCUGUUUUUAGACUCUCCCUUUCCUUUAAUCACUCAGCCUUGUUUCCACCUGAAUUGACUCUCCCUUAGCUAAGAGCGCCAGAUGGACUCCAUCUUGGCUCUUUCACUGGCAGCCGCUUCCUCAAGGACUUAACUUGUGCAAGCUGACUCCCAGCACAUCCAAGAAUGCAAUUAACUGAUAAGAUACUGUGGCAAGCUAUAUCCGCAGUUCCCAGGAAUUCGUCCAAUUGAUUACACCCAAAAGCCCCGCGUCUAUCACCUUGUAAUAAUCUUAAAGCCCCUGCACCUGGAACUAUUAACGUUCCUGUAACCAUUUAUCCUUUUAACUUUUUUGCCUACUUUAUUUCUGUAAAAUUGUUUUAACUAGACCCCCCCUCUCCUUUCUAAACCAAAGUAUAAAAGCAAAUCUAGCCCCUUCUUCAGGCCGAGAGAAUUUCGAGCGUUAGCCGUCUCUUGGCCACCAGCUAAAUAAACGGAUUCUUCAUGUGUC